GCUUGUCUCAAGAUUAAGCCAUGCAUGUCUAAGUAUAACUCUUUUACUUUGAAAACUGCGAACGGCUCAUUAUAUCAGUUAUAGUUUCUUUGAUAGUCCCUUACUACUUGGAUACCCGUAGUAAUUCUAGAGCUAAUACAUGCGAAAAGACGGGCCGCAAGGCUUGUUGUAUUUAUUAGAUAAAAAAUCAAUACCUGUUCUGCAGGUCCUAUUGGUGAGUCAUAAUAACUGUUCGAAUCGCAUGCUUCGGCAGGCGAUAGUUCAUUCAAAUUUCUGCCCUAUCAGCUUUCGACGGUAGUGUAGUGGACUACCGUGGCGUUAACGGGUAACGGAGAAUUAGGGUUCGAUUCCGGAGAGGGAGCCUGAGAAAUGGCUACCACAUCCAAGGAAGGCAGCAGG
rnacentral:rRNA from 1 species